rnacentral:misc_RNA from 1 species
UCUCCAAGAGACGAGUGGUGUG